UCUGUGGUUUGCAUGUAUUCAUUGUAAGGAAGAUACAACCGAAAUCCAUGCAAGUUUUUUGCAUCCAGACAGAGCAAAAUCUGAGAAUUUGAACUCAGAAGUAUGCUUGGAGGAAUCCCAUUACUACUAUAAGUUUCAAAGAACAAAGAAAACCGUGAUUAUAAUUAUACAGUCCCGAAGAAGCAACAAAAGGUGUUGACUAAUGAAAAUAAUGUUAGUUCUGUGUAUUGCGCAAUGUGGGGCUGUUAUAAACUUGGACGACAAGUGUGGGACAUUGGCUAAAGAAUGUCCAUGGAUUUUUGAUGGUUUGCGGGAUAUGAUUAAGUGGGCGUGGAAUUUCGUUCUUUUGUAGCAUUGAAAGUUGGAAACUCAAAACGAAGUAGUUAUUAGUAAAUGCGGUUACCAUGUUUGAAGACAUUCUGUUUGCACGGAUGGGUUUUUAUUGUAAGUAUGAAGACAUUCUUUUGUAGCAUUGGAAGUUGGAAACUCAAAGCGAAGUAGUUAUUAGUUAUUAGUAAAUGCGGUUAACAUAAAAUCUUGGUGCUUUUAUUGUAAGUGUUUUUAUUGUUCUUAAUGAAGGUGGCAGUUUCAACCCA